rnacentral:rRNA from 1 species
GUGCCAGCCGCCGCGGUAAUACGUAGGUGGCAAGCGUUGUCCGGAUUUAUUGGGCGUAAAGGACGCGUAGGCGGAUAUUUAAGUGUGAUGUGAAAGGCGCGGGCUUAACUCUCGUUGGGCAUCGCAAACUGGGUGUCUUGAGGACAGGAGAGGAAAGCAGAAUUCCUCGUGUAGCGGUGAAAUGCGUAGAGAUGAGGAUGAAAACCAGUGGCGAAGGCGGCUUUCUGGACUGUAACUGACGCUGAGGCUCGAAAGCGUGGGGAGCAAACAGGAUUAGAUACCCUGGUAGUCCACGCCGUAAACGAUGAGUGCUAGGUGUAGGGGGUAUCGACUCCUUCUGUGCCGCAGUUAACACAAUAAGUAUUCCGCCUGGGGAGUACGGUCGCAAGAUUAAAACUUAAAUGAAUUGGCGG